AGCAGCCGCGGUAAUUCCAGCUCCAAUAGCGUAUAUUAAAGUUGUUGCAGUUAAAAAAGCUCGUAGUUGAAUUUCGGGAUCGACGGGUCGGUCGCGCCUCCGGUGUGUACUGGCCCUGUCGGUUUCUCCCUUCUGACGAACUGCGAUGUCAUUAAUUUGGUGCCGUAGGGAAUCAGGACUGUUACUUUGAAAAAAAUUAGAGUGUUUAAAGCAGGCACACGCUUGAAUACAUUAGCAUGGAAUAAUGAAAUAGGACGUUUUGAUCUUAUUUUGUUGGUUUCUAAGAUCGACGUAAUGAUUAAUAGGGAUAGUUGGGGGCAUUAGUAUUCAAUUGUCAGAGGUGAAAUUCUUGGAUUUAUUGAAGACUAACUACUGCGAAAGCAUUUGCCAAGGAUGUUUUCAUUAAUCAAGAACGAAAGUUAGGGGAUCGAAGACGAUCAGAUACCGUCG
rnacentral:rRNA from 1 species